rnacentral:rRNA from 1 species
UUAGGAAUAUUGGACAAUGGGCGCAAGCCUGAUCCAGCCAUGCCGCGUGAGUGAUGAAGGCCUUCGGGUUGUAAAGCUCUUUAGUCCACGAAUAUAAUGACUGUAGUGGAAGAAUAAGCCCCGGCUAACUUCGUGCCAGCAGCCGCGGUAAUACGAGGGGGGCGAGCGUUGUUCGGAAUCACUGGGCGUAAAGCGUGCGUAGGCUGUCGCAAAAGUUAGGAGUGAAAGCCCCAGGCUCAACUUGGGAAUUGCUCUUAAUACUGUGCGACUAGAAUAUCGGAGAGGAGAGCGGAAUUGUCAGUGUAGCAGUGAAAUGCGUAGAUAUUGACAGGAACACCAGUGGCGUAAGCGGCUCUCUGGACGAUUAUUGACGCUGAGGUACGAAAGCGUGGGGAUCAAA